rnacentral:tRNA from 1 species
GGGGAUUUAGCUCACUGGUAGAGCGCUUGCCUAGCAAGCGCAAGGUCCUGGGUUCAAUCCCCAGCUCCG